rfam:Ovis aries breed Texel chromosome 2, whole genome shotgun sequence.
UCCCUCAUAGCUCAGUUGGUAAAGAAUCUGCCUACAGUGCAGGAGGCCCAGGUUCAAUUCCUGUGUUGGGAA